rnacentral:misc_RNA from 1 species
GAUGAAGAACGUAGCGAAAUGCGAUACUUGGUGUGAAUUGCAGAAUCCCGUGAACCAUCGAGUCUUUGAACGCAAGUUGCGCCUCAAGCCAUUAGGUUGAGGGCACGUCUGCCUGGGCGUCACAUAUCGUUGCCUGAUGCCAGUUUCCUCGUGAUGGGUGACUGUGCAGGGCGAAUGAUGGCUUCCCGUGAGCAUUGUUGCCUCAUGGUUGGUUGAAAAUUGAGUCCUUGGUAGGGAGCGCCGUGAUAGAUGGUGGUUGAGUGACGAACGAGACCCAAUCAUGUGAGACCCCUACCGAAUUUGGCCUUCAUGACCCACAUGCGUCUUUGGAACGCUCAUGACGAGACCUCAGGUCAGGCGGGGCUACCCGCUGAGUUUAAGCAUAUCAGUAAGCGGAGGA